ACGGCGGCUAUCAGGUUAAAGGUCCUAAGGUAGCAAAAUUCAUUGACAGGUAAGUUCCGUCCAGCAUGAGCGGUUUCUAACGACUUCUGACUUGUCACUAACCUUGUCUCCUAGAAAUUCAGUUAUCCUUGUUUACGAGGAACCCAUUUAAUAGACGGUGAGACCCU
rnacentral:rRNA from 1 species